rnacentral:misc_RNA from 1 species
AUAAAAGAAGGGCUUUAGAGUCCAACUUUAAUGCUAGUGAUUGCCCAAAAAACAGUCCUAGUUAACCCAUUGUGAACCGUUUAUUGUCUCUGGUGGGACUACCUUUUGGUACCCACCAGUUUAUUUAUUAAACCCAGUUUUUAACAAUGUCUUAUCAAAUGUAAAAAUUUGAAA